UACAGAGGGUGCAAGCGUUGUCCGGAAUCACUGGGCGUAAAGGGCGCGUAGGCGGCCCGGUAAGUAGGAGGUGAAAUCUCACGGCUCAACUGUGAGGCUGCCUUCUAGACUGCCAGGCUCGAGCACAGUAGAGGCUGGUGGAAUUCCCGGUGUAGCGGUGGAAUGCGUAGAGAUCGGGAAGAACAUCUGUGGCGAAGGCGGCCAGCUGGGCUGUUGCUGACGCUGAUGCGCGACAGCGUGGGGAGCAAACAGG
rnacentral:rRNA from 1 species